rnacentral:lncRNA from 1 species
GGAAUUUUUAUGCCAAAUAAUUUACUCUUUGUGAGGUUUCUUUCUCACUGGAGUUUCUUGUAUUUCUCAUUCAAUUUCAUUUGGUACGACUUUAGAAAACAAAAUUCUUGUUGGUAAAUGAUCUGGAUUACAUGAUAAAUAAGAGCCACAGUUGGAGUCCACUGAUACUUCUUCAAUGGGCUGUUCAAUGUUUAAAAACUUGAGUGUAAUCAGUUUCAGAGUCAAAAUCUUCUUUUUGAAUCAAAGAUUGUAUUUCUUCCAAAGACAAUCUAAAAACUUUUAAUAAAAUAGAAGGCGCUCACAACUAUUGACACUUAUUAUCCGUCAUAUAUAUUGCUCAAAACAAUAAAUUGGUACAACAUCUAUAACAAGAUCAUAAGAAUAGUAACUAUGAUGUGAAAUAGAAGACGUGUAUUUAGCUUGCAGUGUUAUAUCAACGACGAGUGUGCACAUUUGUUCCCACCCUUUAUAUUUAUGCUUAUAAAUCAUGAAAUAUAUGUAAAAUAUGAAAUAAAGUUGUCCAAAAUAUGGAUCAGUUCUUUGGGCAUGAAAUUAUGCUAAAAGAUUUAUAUAUAUUACUGUUUGUUUAGUAAAAACAAGCCCUUUAGUUCUGUAAGAUUGCACCAUAUUCCUCCACACCACAAUUGACCUUUUUUAUCUGGCUACUACUCGUAAGUUACUGACUAUAUAUGUUUGUACAUUGUAUCAAACAUUUACAAAACUUAUACGGAACUUACUAAUCUGUUUUAAUAUUUAAAUAGUUUUUGGUUGUGUAGUAAUAACAGUUUUUCUGCAGUGGGUACAUAUGUUCCCAGUUGAUAUUAAUGUUACAAUCAGUAUUAUUAACUCAAAAGUUACUAACCAUAUCAUUAUAAGGCAAUUAACAAGUUUUACGUCAUAUAAAAACCAUAGAAGAAAAACAAAAACAUUACAUAAUGAAUAUAGUUCAUUCAUAAAUUACUCCUUGACACGUAGUGAAGAAUGAUUAACAUAAGUAGAGUUCAAAAUAGAAUUAACAGGAAAUGAACAAUUUUAUACUUUUUAGGAUUUUGUGUUUAUCAUUAUUUAAUAAAGCACUACAGUUUUACUUACAAAAAAAUGAAAUAUGAUGUGUAUACCUGAAGUUUGGCCAAUUUUUAUACAUUCUUAUGUAGCGACCUCUUUAUGUAGCCGUUAGCGCUCUCUAUACAGAUGAAGAAUUAUUAAUCAUAUAUAUAUGUAAUAUAGAUAAACAAGUUCAUAAUAAAAAUUAUAAGAAUAUACGUUCCUUUAAAAAAAAAAAAAGUCCCUAAAUUGGUGAUUCCGAAUGUUAGAAUAUGAAGAAUGAAAAUCGAUAACAUAGCUACACUAAUCGUUAGCGCACUAUCAUUUAAACUUCCAACAAUUCAUACGAAAUGGCCUUCGUUAUGGUUUGCCAAAACUGAACCCCAGUUUCGGUUCAAAGCUAUACCCAAGAGGAAACGAAGUAUGACUACGUCUGUUUGUCACUGGACAAUAUUACAGCUUCUCGAGUGGCACCUCUGAUAGAAAAUCCUUCCAAAGAAAAUUCUACCAUUAAAAGUUGUCUUAUUUACAUAAAUAAGCCUUCAGAUCGCAAUAAGUUCGAGAUUUUUCUGAAUAUUGGGGAACUACGCGAGUGUACAACAUCAACAUUGUCAGCCAAAAAGAUAAAUCUCAUGGAUGGACACACAUUUCUUUUUUUGGCCAAGAUUUCUGCCUUAAAUCCCUGCCUUUUCUUUUCCAACUCCAACACGCCAACUAGAGCAAGAUAAUUUUACUGAUCCACAUAAAUUAGCAGAUCCUGCUCAUCGGUUGUAUGAAUAGUGGAAAAUACAACAAACGACGUCUUCAUACAAUGUAUUUUUUUAAAGUAACACCGACAAAACCAUUUGUUAUUAUCAUCAACGUUAUGGAACUAGGGCUAGGAUAUGCACACUUCCUUGUGUAUGGAAACUCUCUAAACACUUGGGAAGCUCUCUAGACAGUAAAACAUAGCGUGAAUUCGCUAUCAAAGAUUCACUCCUGCUGAUGGCUUACAAUUUACCAUACUAAUUCUCCGAAAAACAUUUUGUCGAUACAUGCGCAGAAGUCAGUGUGAUUCUUGCUAAUACAUCAAAAGAUAAAAAACCAUCCUUCUUUCCUAUUACAUCCCUAUUACGCAUGAUGCUAAAAACUAAUGGCAAGUUGAGAACCUGUGGCGAUAUUCAAUGACUCAAUAACGUCAUAGUUCUAAAUCGAUAUCCUUUUCCAAACAUUUAUAUAUACGCAAUACACACUAAGUGGGUAUUUUACUAACCAAUUAGUGCGCAGUUCAUUAUUUUAUAAAGUCGAUCUAGUGAAAGUUUAUCAUAAAAUUCCAGUACAAAUUGAAGAUUUACAAAAACAGCCAUCAUUACCCCCGUUCGGUCUUUUUAAAUUCUUAGAAAUGUCUGUUGGUUUUAAAAUAAAUCGGUACAGGCGUUCCAAAGACUCAUGGAUCGUUGUUUAAAUGGGCUACAUUUUGUCUUUGUUUAUCUAAACGACAUCUUAAUAGCAAGUUUGUCUAUGAAGCAAUAUUUAAAAACAAUUUUCUGAAAUCUUCAUCGCCGCAAAUUAGCCGUUAAUCUAGCAAAAUGAAAAAUUGGUCCACCAAAUAUAGACUUUCUCCGUCAUAAUGUCAUCUGGGGAUCACAUACCUUGUUGACAAGGACAAAACAAUUGAUUCUAAUCCAUUCCCGUAAUUUCCUCGAAAGAGAACUGAAUGAAAUACCUAAAAUAACGUCUCCUUCUGUCGGGAUUUCUCGAAAUGGAGGCCCAGGAAUUUGGAAAUACUUACCGAACAAGAAACAGAUUGCUUGUUGGACUUGUCAAUAUAAA